rnacentral:lncRNA from 1 species
GGACAAGCUUUCCAAAACCUGAUGAGCCAUUUGCGUGCUUUCGAACUGACGACUAUCCCCAGGCUAAGAAGUAUUUCAUUAUUGGCCAGAAGUGAUGUUCAUGAGACCAGGGCCUGUCACAUCCAUCAGGACUCAUGGAAAGUUCCUUGUGACCAACUACCUGAAGGGGAAAAAUUAAAAUUCAGGCCUAAUUACAGGUGGGUUUGCAUUAAAUGUUUGGCAGCUACAAAUAUUGGAAAGGUCAGCUACAGUAUAACAGCCCCACUCAAGGUAUGUUGAAAGAUGGAAAGGCAGGAGAAUCUUCCCAGGAGGUGGAACUUCUUGAUCAGAACAUAUUGUUGUCCAUUUGUUGGAAAGCAGAUGUGGCUGAGCCCAGGAACACAGCCUAUGCUGAUUCCAUCAGGAAUUUGCACAAGGACUGAAAAAA